ACCCUGUGCUCUGGGAGACUGGGCAGCAGGUCACAGGGCAGAGUGAAGAAACCUUCGUCAAUAUGUGAAUGGUGUCAGUGUUUUCAUUCUGUUUCCAGUGAGGCAGUGGUCUCUUGCCCUAAGAAUGUCACCUGGACUUGUGGUGAAGAAAGAAUUUUUAUAGAUUUUUCUGAAAAUGAAAUUGAGAACUAAGCUCCUGGUGGCGGCUGUAGCCAUUGUGUGAAGUUUGGAACUCUGGAAACCCACUUAGAACGUCUUGGCCAGAAAAGGUUUGCUUGAUGCUGCUCCCAUAGUUCUUAUCCUUUCCCUUCUCAAGAUGUUAAGGCCACAUACAAGAACAGGGUUGUAACCCUGGGGAGACACAAAGACUGCUGCCCAGAAUCACACAAGAGAAAGGUCUGAGAUCACAUGG